UCGAACCGAUACUCAUUCCUGACAACAUUCAGGUGUAGUCAUUGGUGAAACGAAAGACAAUAGGCAUCUCCAUCGCGCUUUUACCGUGAUUUACCACGUCGGACAACGUCCAUGCUACACCGAGCGGAAAUACCGUGGCGGUGCACUUCUCUUACAUAAUCAGAGCGAUGUAACCUCUCGGUAGUUCUUGACGCUCUUUGUUCAUCCCCUUUUUACUCGAAAGCGGCUAGCACUUUGGACUGUAUCUUAUCGUUUAUCAACAAACAAUUUUCACAAAUCAUCUUGUUUUACGAGUCUUUGGAGGUAGAAAACACUAUGCAUACAAUAAGCACAAAUCAAAGCAGCGCAAAAAAGGAGAAUUCCUGGAGUUAAUUGGAUUUUCAACCGAAGGAUGAGUAUUCAGUACUAAAUAAGGGAAAAAUUAAUAUAAGGAUUGCAGGACUAAGGGUUUCCUUUAGGAAAAGGCGAUACCAGGUCGACUUAAGCAAAGAUGUCAGGACAUUUUCAUCAGAAGGGAAGGUCAUUUCAGAAGAAAUUUCAAGUCAAGAUUUGGAGGUCAAAUGAAUCAUCAGCAGGAUUGGAAAAAAGGUGGAAGGAGUAAGAUCCAAGACGGGGGUGAUUCGUUGGUGUAUAAGGGUUGAUGACCUCUGGGUUCAAGGAAGAGGUCCAGAUGUAGGAAUGGAAGUAUUGAGGGAAAGUUCCAAAUCAGGGGUUCGACCGAAAAAACUGGAAAAUACCACAUUAGAUAAUUGAGUCUCUGACGGAAACUAAUGGGGGUAGUUUGCUAGGGUUUGGUGAAAUAAAUCUAUUAGUUGGGAUUUCAGAAAUCAAAAAGUGGUAAAAUCUAAUUGCAGUGCUUCGACCAGCUAGAAAUAUUUCAGCAGAUGGAUUUUUUAUUUAACGAAAAAACCUGAAGUGAAUUCACCAUUAAACUGAUUCCCCGAAGCGAAACACAGGUAAACCAGCGACAGAACAACGGUACUCAACAAAGCCAUCGUUACCUGGCCUCCCAUGUCUUCGUCCACAGUCACAUAUACAGGGUGUCCCAGAAUUGCACGUCCAAACUUUAAACUUAAGUUGGGGGUGAAAUUCUGGAUCGAAAAGUCCUGAGCGACUUUUUGAUCAGAUGCACCCUCUUCAAGUUAUUGAGGGUUGAAGUUGGACGAAUCAGGGGCGUGGAAUACCCAGUCACACGUCGGUGAGAAAAACAUGCGAGUGUAGUGGUGUCCCCACCAUACCGUACUACUCCCCUGCAGCGGCAGAAAGAGAUGACUGAUGGCGGAGGGCAAGAGGAAGGGGAGGGGAAAUAAAAAAAAUGAACACCCGCCCGCUACAUAAUAGUAGAUUAUGACAUGAGGACGAUAGGUGGAGGAUUGUGAGAAGUGUGAAGUUUGCAGCACGAGGCGUGACAAGUCGCAGUCGAGGCGAGCCGGAGGCUUCGCCCCCCCCCAGGGAAAAACAAAAAUAGACUUAAUUAAAAAAAAAUUAUUCUUUAGAAAAAUACAUAAACAAUAUCAACUAAAGAAAACGAAUCUUAACGUUUUGCUUAGGUUCUAUUGUCCAUGGUUGUGUUCAUCGAAAGAAGAAAUCAUACGAUUGCAAAAUUUAUUCACCAAAAAACAUUUUAUAAUUUGUAUCAAUUUAAUUUUAUAAAAUUUUAUAAUAUUAAAGCAUUAUUAAUCUUUUAGUAUUUCGAUUAAGGUUCGUUUUCUUUAAUUUAUCUUGUUUAUGUAUUUUUCCAAAGAAUAAUUUUUUUUUAAUUAAGCCUAUUUCUGUUUUUCACUUUUCAUGUUAAUCGAAAUACCAAAAGAUUAAUAAGUGCUUUAAUAUUAUAAAAUUUUAUAAAAUUAAAUUGAUACAAAUUAUAAAAUGUUUUUUGGUGAAUAAAUUUUGCAAUCGUAUGAUUUCUUCUUUCGAUGAACACAACCAUGGACAAUAGAACCUAAGCAAAACGUUAAGAUUCGUUUUCUUUAGUUGAUAUUGUUUAUGUAUUUUUCUAAAGAAUAAUUUUUUUUUA